ensembl:lincRNA A930006I01Rik RIKEN cDNA A930006I01 gene
CGCUAACAAAGCUUGCCUUCAAAGCCGAUUACAAGCACACAGAUAGCUCUCCUAUCAAGAUGCAAUAGAACUGCUGGGGACUUACAUAGCACUGCAGAUGGUAGCGACUUACCCUGAGCCCCUCCCAGGAGAUUCUAUGUUUUUCAAGGUUUCGGUGAUCGAAUUCCAUUUAUCAGACUUCGCAGCAAACCUCCUUACCUGUGGAGCCAUCCUGCCUGCCCUUGGGAAACUUUUGAAUUAUAAAAGUUGUCUAUGGCUUUUCAUGGAUUUUUGAUGAGGAUGCUGCUGAAUAGAGACCGGCGAGAACCAGCCUCCUUCUUCUACUUGAAGAUGCAGAGGGAACAUUUUCAAAGUUCCUCCUUUGAACUCAUUGUUCAGGAUUUUACUGUGGCUACUGAAUAGCAGAUUAUUAAUGUACCUUAUUUUUCCUAAUGUCCAAUAGCUUUGCAUAGUAAGCCAUAUGUUGAAUUUUAGCAAGUGUUAUUUUUCUCCGCAUGUAUUGAGCUGACUCCUUAGGCUCCUAGACUCACAGUGGGCUCUCCCCUGACAAACCCCUUCGAAGUGGGAAGUAACACAAGUCUAAAAUGUGUUUGAUACAUGGAAUCACUGAGCACUGUGGCUCAGGGGCAUAGUAUCCUGGGGGUUGUCAGCUGCCCCCUGGCCAUCCUGGGGUGACUGGGAUCAGCCUCAUGGCUGCUGCCUAGAGUCUUCAGUGUUUUGCUGCAUACUGCUAACCCAAGAAAGGUCAAAAUUCAAAAUGACAAGUGCAGUUUCUGCUAAAUGUGUAUUACUUUCACGCCAUCAAAAAGUUGAAAAAUCAUGGGCCUGUUUUGUUGCCGUUGAUAUACUGGUUUCCAGUAACAGGACAUGUAUAGCAUCAUGCAUCCUAGUAUCCUGGAACAAGUCAGGUUUGCACAUUGUGGAUUUUCCCUUUACAUAUUGCUAGAGUUGGUUUAUAAAUACUUUGCUUAGCUGUUUACACCUGUGUUUACAUGUACAAUUGCCCUGUGAUUUUUUUCUCUCACCCUAUUCUUUACUGGAUUGUAGUAUUGAUAUUCUAGUUUCACAAAAUAAAGAAGGGAAUAUACCUACUUUUGCUACUUUUUGGAAAAUUUUGUACAAGAUUGACAUCAAAUCUUUAAAAAUUUAAAAAUAUCUGGUUGAGCUUAACAUUCGGUGACAAGUUUAUUUUAAAUUUCAGAUUUUCCAGUUUUAUUUUUUUUUCUUGUGCUAAUCUUGGUAAGUAACAUUUCCUUGAGGUUUAUAUUCCUCUGCAUUUUGAAGUUUAUUGGCAGCUGUUUGUGAUACCCUCACGACAUUCCGCAAAUGUCUCCAACAGACGCAAUACAGCCACUCUUCCUCUGCUGACACUAAGAGCGGGGGGGGGGGUGUUCCCCUUUUCUGUCCUGUUUUGUCUGAACAGAUUUAUUGCUUUUAUUAGUUAUUACAUUUUUAUUAUGUUUAUUUAUGAAUUGAUGAGGGGUACACCAGGCACACACGUGGAGGUUAGAGCACAGCUUUUAGGAUUUGGCUCUCUCCUACCAUGUGGGGCCAGGAGAUUGGGCUGAGGUAUUGGGAGCUGGCAACAAGCUCUUUGACUCGUCUCAGCGGCCUCUUUAUCAGUUAUUUUAAAGAACCAAAUUCUGACUUUUAAAAAUCUUCUCUAUUAUCUCUUUUUUCUUUCAGCAUUGCUGCUAACAUUCUUUUAGGGGAAGACCUAAACAAUGUCUAUCUCUCCUCUGAAGGUCCAGGCUACUGCCCAAGAUACAAUGCUACCACAGUUCAUCCUGGGGGAAGCAAGGAGUUUUUUAGGCUGCCGUACAGCGAGUGGGCAAGCAUGUGCAGGCAGGAACACGGAUGGUUCUAAAGCAGCCUCUGGGAGGUCUGCAUCCCGAGUGAUUCCCCCAUGGCUGUGUACUUGGCAUGCCACUCUUCAGGGAGUCCAUCCUUGGCUACAGAAUGCUAGCCCCUCCCUGAGGCCAUAUGCAAUCAGGGCAGAACUGUAUACAACUGGUUGAGAUGAGUGGCUGGAUACCUGGGUGAGGGCCCCUGACCUUCUCCACCCUCCUCCCAUGAAGGAGUGUCAGCAGUAAGCAUUUGCAAGUUGAGUUCACGAAGGUGGUGGCAAUUUGCCUUGGGGGACAGUCCUGUAAGACAUUUCUUUUUCUUGAGUUUAGUGCACAUCAGGACAAGACUAUUUCACUUCUAAACUCUUCUAGAACUCCU